rnacentral:misc_RNA from 1 species
UAAAAUAUCGAUCAAAGUUAAGUAAAUAUGGAUUAUGGGAGAAAGCAAUUGUUGAAUUUCUUUUGUUUUCUAAUGCAUUUCUUCCUCCUUUCCAUUUUUCUCCGUAUCUAUUCUCUCUCCUUUUCUCCCCCCAUCUUUUUCUAAUCUUCUUUUUGUUGUGUGCAUUGGGUGUACUAAUUUUGCUGGCUGUGGCGUUUCCCUCUUAAUGAAG